rnacentral:rRNA from 1 species
UAUGGUGCGAGCGUUAUCCGGAUUCACUGGGUGUAAAGGGAGCGCAGGCGGCCUGCCAAGUCCGAUGUGAAAACCCGGGGCUCAACCCCGGGACUGCAUUGGAAACUGGCGGGCUGGAGUUCCGGAGAGGCAGGCGGAAUUCCUGGUGUAGCGGUGAAAUGCGUAGAUAUCAGGAGGAACACCGGUGGCGAAGGCGGCCUGCUGGACGGACACUGACGCUGAGGCUCGAAAGCGUGGGGAGCGAA